GAUGAACGCUGGCGGCGUGCCUAAUACAUGCAAGUCGAGCGGUAAGGCCUCUUCGGAGGUACACGAGCGGCGGACGGCUGAGUAACACGUAGGAACAUACCCCAAAGUGAGGGAUAAGCACCAGAAAUGGUGUCUAAUACCGCAUGUGAUCUAAGGAUUAAAGCUCCGGCGCUUUGGGAAUGGCCUGCGUAAGAUUAGCUAGAUGGUGAGGUAAUGGCUCACCAUGGCGACGAUCUUUAGCUGGUCUGAGAGGAUGACCAGCCAGACUGGGACUGAGACACGGCCCAGACUCCUACGGGAGGCAGCAGUAGGGAAUUUUCCACAAUGGGCGAAAGCCUGAUGGAGCAACGCCGCGUGCAGGAUGAAUGUCUUCGGAUUGUAAACUGCUUUUAUAUGUGACGAAUAUGACGGUAGCAUAUGAAUAAGGAUCGGCUAACUCCGUGCCAGCCGCCGCA
rnacentral:rRNA from 1 species